rnacentral:rRNA from 1 species
AACGAACGCUGGCGGCAGGCCUAACACAUGCAAGUCGAACGCUCUAGCAAUAGGGAGUGGCGCACGGGUGAGUAACGCGUAGGAAUCUACCCAUUAGCCUGGGAUAACAGCGGGAAACUGCUGCUAAUACCGGAUACGCCCCUUCGGGGGGAAAGGUUUACUACUAAUGGAUGAGCCUGCGUUAGAUUAGCUAGUUGGUGAGGUAAUGGCUCACCAAGGCUCCGAUCUAUAGCCGGUCUGAGAGGACGAUCGGCCACACUGGGACUGAGACACGGCCCAGACUCCUACGGGAGGCAGCAGUGGGGAAUAUUGGGCAAUGGGCGCAAGCCUGACCCAGCCAUGCCGCGUGAGUGAUGAAGGCCUUAGGGUUGUAAAGCUCUUUUAGUAGUGAAGAUGAUGACAGUAGCUACAGAAAAAGCCCCGGCUAACUUCGUGCCAGCCGCCGCCGUAACAC